GAUACAUUGCCACUGUCGGUACUGCCGCCAGUUUCAAUAAGAGACGAUAUCGAAAGAGUCCGACAAUAAUUCGUUUGAACACCCCUAAGGGCGGUGCGCAGCAGCCGGCCCUGCUCGGGUUUCUCCGGCAGCGUCCGCUCAUCAUCGUAGCCAAUUGGAGCUCGAGAUGAACUGUACCUAACCUAACCUCCACUAGAUAACACGCGGUCAAGAUGUGGGUAAUGGCGGCGAGGAGAAACUCCCGCGUAGUUUGACCAACUGUACUGCAGCCAAUGAAAAUCGUUUAUUUUUAACUUGAAUUUGAUGGAACUUUGACGGGCUUUUCGGGCCUAAGGACUUGAUUUUUGACUUUUUGAACGUUACCAUCGUUUUAAUCGCGAAAAGUUCUAUGACUACAUAUUUUUUAUUCUCAAAUCCCUCACCCAUGCAACAACCCCAUUGGGAAACAUUUGAUGUAACCAACGUGUUUGAUGUAAAAUUUCGGUGAGAAAUAUAUUGCUGAAUUUUUUACCUUGUUCAGUGGCGCAUGAGAAGGACAUAUUUUUUCUUCAUGAAUUUUGAUGAGCAAUAGUUAAUUUAACCCUAGCAAGUUUCCAGAAAGUGUUUCCAACGCCAACCACUUAUGAAUAUCACAACUUCUUUGAGGCUCCUAGGUACUACAACAAACUCUUUGAUGCUUGGGAAGUUCGUUACCACAAAAAUCGAAGUUUAGGAGUUGAACUUCUUGAAUCCAAAUGCAAAUUGAAAAUUCAUUUGGACGUUUCACAGAUCAACUUCAACACAACCAAGGGUCAGGGAAAGCGUAAAAAGCUUGGAUUAGUCAGGAAUUUUAAUAUUUUGUGGAAAAGUCAGGGGAGAAUACCAAGGAAUUUCAUUUUUAAAACGAAAAUGUCCGGGGAAGCUCGAAAAAAAAUUGUCUCCUGUACGCAGAGCAACAGGUGCAAGAUCAAGUAAAGAGUGAAAAACAGCGAAGAUAAGAAAGAAACUCUAGACGGAAGCAAGGCUGUCAUAGUGAACGGUUAAGUUAGUCCAGCACUCCUCGGUUUCAUCCAUCCUUUAUUUUUGCACUGCUGUGGUGGCUGCGCUCAUGCAUUCAUCACUGAAUUGAAGAAGAAAUUGGACAGCAUUUCAAUUUUCCUGCCAAAUAAUAUUUCUUUCCCAGUUCUUGAUCGAAAGAAUGUCAGUUUUUUUUUUGUUAUCUAAUAUGUACUAGAACAUUUUCAGAAACUUGUGAUUAUCUUUCAUUUUUUUUAAACUCAUCCUGUCAAUGCACUUGUUUGGCAUUUUAUUGCUUAAUUUGUUCAUACUUAGAUAACUUUCAUCGAAUCACUCCGUGAAUUCUGGUAUCAAUGUUAAGACUUUUUCACCCAGGACUUUUCAUCUUAUUUCCACCUAAGAGCUUAAGGGAAUAUGAAAAAACUACAGAUUUUGUAAAUUAUCAAGUGAAACUGAGAGUUAAAUGUUCUAAGCACUCAGUGUAGAUUUUUAUGUUAAAUACUUUUUGAGUUCGAUUGUGGGAAGUAUUUUAUAUAUAUAUAUAAUAUAUAUAUAAUAAUAUAAUAUUCCUACCACCUUUCCUUAAUAUUCCUAUGCAAACUGCCUGAGCUGAACACUCUCCCCCCCUCAGUUUCGCACUGGUGCGCAUUCGAGCUCAAUAAUAAUGUUGACCCUAAUUUUAAUUUUUGGAACUCCCUUGGCUUUGAUUUCCGCGCGAAAUGGUGUGGACCCAGCACCAUUUCUCCACCUUGUUAGAUACAGUUUCGGGCCACUUUGAGUGAGUGUUUUUUUCUUUAUAUAAUAUAUAUAUAUAAAAUUCAAAAUCCUGGAAAAUGUCAGAGCAGUCGUAUAGUCUUAGGUGAAUCUACACUGGGUAAGAGCUUGAUUUUUCUAUGCUCGAACGCCACUGCAUUUUUUUCAUUUCAAGGUUUUGCUUUUUGAUUAAAUCAACAAAAUUUUAAAGAGUUUAAUGAAAAAGUAAUGUGCACAGUUGGCGGAUCUCUGCUCUUUAUCGACAACAAAAUUAUGAGAAAAGAAUAAUCCAGAAUUUUAUCCCGGAUGAAAGAGGUUCAAAAGAGAGAGACUUAGAACCAGUCGAUGAAUUGAAAUCGCCUCUGAAUUGGCAAGUUUUUCUGAAGAAGUCAAUAUUCAGCCCUUAUUUAUCUCUUUAAAAUCUUUUUUAUUCCUUUUAUUUUAGAGGUUUGCAGCUAAAGUCUGUUCGGGACAAAAUUUAAUUCUUGUUUCUAACUAUCGCUAAUUUUAACCGUUUUGAUUUUAGCAGCUUGAUGUCGUCAUUACUUCUGGACUAAUUAGAUUUAUCCAAGUUAAUUUCUGGUCAACGCCUGUACUAGUUAAUUUAUGGAUAAUUGUGUUCUACUAAAAUUUUAAUUAAUGCUUACUUACAUCCCAUGUUUUGCUGAAAUAUCCAAUUUAUAUGUUUGCGUGCAGCUUCAACUUUCUCUGCCAUGGCCAGUAUUCAUUCUACCCCAAAACCGUUCCUGAGCUAUGUAUCUGGAUCUUGUUUGAAUUUGCCUCCUUGGCGUUUAGGGAGAAGAUCAAAUGCAGUCACGAAUCUCAGUCGACUCGGGCGUAGCUCGUGGAAUCAGUUUUUUGGGUUGCAAGCAUCCGUAUCUAUGUAGCUGUUGAAGGCAAAAAGCUGGCCACAGUCUACAUCUAAAGAUGAUCAAAUCGUCACAAUUUACCACCCUAACCUGUAGGAAGGUUGCUGCACCUGCAUUUCUAGCCUAGCACUUCAGACGGAUAGAGCUCUCCAGAAUGGGUCUAUUGCAUGCAAGAGAUACAGCUAACUGAUAUCUUUUACCAAAGGUAGAUUCGCUCGAAAUUCAUGUUGGGCACACCGAAAAGUCUAAAAGCCAAACCCCUCUUCGCGCAAUCUAUGUAGUUUGAACACGCUUUUUCAAAUUACCGCUUAGAUAGGGAGUUUUCGUUGAUGGCCAGCAGUCAGGUUUGCCUGUGACCUUACUGAAAUAAACAAAUAUCUCGCGAAAUGUUAUAAACUAUCCUUGCCUAAGAUUUCAAUUGAUUCAAAGCUUUCAUCUUUGCAACAUAAAGAAGAAAAAGGAAACAAACGAUUGAAAUCACACGAUAAAAAGGUGAGUGAAAUCGUUUAUUUACUCAUUGUCAGGUCAGUUUCUCUUAUUCCUCUGCCUGUGCCUCGGCGGUGACCGAGAAAAACUGCCCGUAGAGGCGGAGGGUGACAAAGCUUCUUGCAAACUUUAUUGAUUGCGCGACAAGGAAUGGAUUUCAGACUUUCUAGACGUGUCCAACGUGAUUUUUGUGGAAUUUUACCAUUGGAAAGUAUAUUUAUUUGGCUGUAUCUCUGGUGUUCAGCAGAUCCAUCGUUAUCAAAGGGGUACGUGCAAAACGGGCCAUUUCACGCUCGUGUCGCAUGCCAUUGAAACUUCCUAUUCAUUCAUCUAACAAUGCCCUAUGUUUUCCCAAAGUUUCAAGUCCCCAAAAAAUUUUGGGGGGCAGUGGCGGGGGGUCAAAGUUGAAAUCCUUGAAAUUUCGCGAAUUUUUUACUCGAAAACUACUAAUAUUUCGAAACGCGAUUUAAACGAGCGUUUUUCAGCGUAACAAGAGCUUUUAGAAAAUGUAUAACAUCAUAGGGUUUUGUCGACUUAAACUCGAGUUAUCGCCUCCGAAGCGCCGAACGCUAAAAACGACCCGUUUUUUUGUCACGUUCGGGCCGAUCCCCAAAUACGUACGUCAUUUUUAA
rnacentral:lncRNA from 1 species